rnacentral:rRNA from 1 species
UACGGGGGGGGCAAGCGUUGUUCGGAAUUACUGGGCGUAAAGGGCUCGUAGGCGGCCAACUAAGUCGGACGUGAAAUCCCUCGGCUUAACCGGGGAACUGCGUCCGAUACUGGAUGGCUUGAGUUCGGGAGAGGGAUGCGGAAUUCCAGGUGUAGCGGUGAAAUGCGUAGAUAUCUGGAGGAACACCGGUGGCGAAGGCGGCAUCCUGGACCGAGACUGACGCUGAGGAGCGAAAGCCAGGGGAGCAAACGGG